rnacentral:rRNA from 1 species
CAUGCAAGUCGAACGGAAAGGCCCUUCGGGGUACUCGAGUGGCGAACGGGUGAGUAACACGUGGGUGAUCUGCCCUGCACUUUGGGAUAAGCCUGGGAAACUGGGUCUAAUACCGAAUAGGACCGCAUGCUUCAUGGUGUGUGGUGGAAAGCUUUUGCGGUGCGGGAUGGGCCCGCGGCCUAUCAGCUUGUUGGUGAGGUAAUGGCUUACCAAGGCGACGACGGGUAGCCGGCCUGAGAGGGUGACCGGCCACACUGGGACUGAGAUACGGCCCAGACUCCUACGGGAGGCAGCAGUGGGGAAUAUUGCACAAUGGGCGCAAGCCUGAUGCAGCGACGCCGCGUGAGGGAUGACGGCCUUCGGGUUGUAAACCUCUUUCGCCAGGGACGAAGCGCAAGUGACGGUACCUGGAGAAGAAGGACCGGCCAACUACGUGCCAGCAGCCGCGGUAAUACGUUGGGUCCGAGCGUUGACCGGAAUUACUGGGCGUAAAGAGCUCGUAGGUGGUUUGUCGCGUUGUUCGUGAAAACUCACA